rnacentral:rRNA from 1 species
UACGUAGGGUGCGAGCGUUAAUCGGAAUUACUGGGCGUAAAGCGUGCGCAGGCGGUGAUGUAAGACAGGUGUGAAAUCCCCGGGCUUAACCUGGGAACUGCAUUUGUGACUGCAUCGCUGGAGUGCGGCAGAGGGGGAUGGAAUUCCGCGUGUAGCAGUGAAAUGCGUAGAUAUGCGGAGGAACACCGAUGGCGAAGGCAAUCCCCUGGGCCUGCACUGACGCUCACGCACGAAAGCGUGGGGAGCAAACAGG